rnacentral:rRNA from 1 species
GUGUCAGCCGCCGCGGUAAGACGGAGGGUGCUAGCGUUGUUCGGAAUUACUGGGCGUAAAGGGCGCGUAGGCGGCUUUUCAAGUCGGAUGUGAAAGCCCGGGGCUCAACUCCGGAACGGCAUUCGAAACUGGAGGGCUGGAGGACGAGAGAGGAAAGUGGAAUACCCAGUGUAGAGGUGAAAUUCGUAGAUAUUGGGUGGAACACCGGUGGCGAAAGCGGCUUUCUGGCUCGUUUCUGACGCUGAGGCGCGAAAGCGUGGGGAGCAAACAGGAUUAGAUACCCUGGUAGUCCACGCCCUAAACGAUGUGUGCUAGAUGUCGGGGGACUUGUCCCUUGGUGUCGGAGCUAACGUGUUAGGCGCACCGCCUGGGGAGUACGGCCGCAAGGUUAAAACUUAAAUGAAUUGACGGGG